rnacentral:ncRNA from 1 species
ACAUCGAAAAGGCACAACACGGGCAACCGUGUGUCGCAAAGCUACCAUCCCACCGGGAUAGAGGGGUUGUCGAA